UCAUGCCGUUUUCCCGAUUUGCCGAUCAAAUCACGCAGUCCACGAAUCUCCAGACUUGUGCCAUGGCUUCCGCCUUCUUACCCUAUUUCUAUUUCGUGUUUUCCCCUUUUACACCUCAUUGUUUCAUUCGACCACUCCUUCUGAUCGAUCAACACUCGACCCAUAACCAAAUAUCUCCUUCUGCCUUUACUCGGCUCACUUGAUUGAAACUUGAAAGCUUCUGCGAAGAACAAACCACCAUUCGAGUGAGAAUCUCGGGGUCAUCAAGAGGAGUCCAAUGUAGCUCCACCUAGCUGCCAGCGAAUGAUUAUGCAGAAACUGAAAUUCCAGGCUUCAGAAAUUACAUUAUCGGGUGUUGUUACGAUCUGUAGUAAUAACCUUAAGCAUUACCCAGCUUUCUGUAAGAAUGAAGCCACCAUAGCUGCUCAUUCGUUCGUUUAUAUCCAAGCGGCUGAAGAUCCCGAUUACCUUGCUUACUUGGAAGAUAUAUUCGAGAAUAAGAGGAACACCAAAUGUGUUAAAUUGAGAUGGUUUCUCUCGGUCGGGAAGUCGAGGUUAAAAAUCCUGAGUUGAAUCCACACACGAGAGAAAUUCUUCUCACAACUAGUGUUGAGGUGAUUCGUGCCGAUUGUGUUACUGGUUCAAUUACAGUUUUAACCCCUAAGCAUUACGAAAGAUCAUUAACCGUCAGUUCGGGUAUUAUGUCUCCUGGUUUAUAUGUGCUCUAGAGAUUGUUCCGUUCUCUGUUGAUAAAAUGGUGGGUUAUUCUAAACAGCAGAUCGUUUCCUCCUUAGAAAGCUGUAUUCUUUCAAUACGAAAACCGUUGCAUCAUAAAUCAAUUGAGGUAGAGAGAAAGGUUUCAUUUGAUGAAAAUGAGAGGCAGCCUACUAAUAAGAAGCUGAAGAUCAAAUUGUCUAGAAACAAAGGCACUGUAAUUUCAUCAGUUGAGACUAAUCAAAUGAUAGAGGUACUCCGUGAGGCUGUAAUUUCAUCAAUUGAGAGUAAUCAAAAGAUAGAGGUACUUUGUCAGGAUAGUGGGAUUCGAGGGUGCUGGUUUAGGUGUGAAGUUUUGCGGUAUCAUGCAUCGAAGAACCUCGUUCUAGUUGAAUAUCUCGAUUUGCGGACCGAGGGUGGAUUGAGCAAUCAAGGGUGGAUUGAGCAAUCAAAAGGAGUGGGUUCGUAAUCCUAGAGUGGCAACACUCAGUGCUUUUCAAAUGAGAUGUGAUGAUUGCCUCUCUAUUCGUCUCUUUCCUCCCGAGAGUUCCUUGGAUUGUUUGAUCGAGGCUGGGACAGCAGUUGACGUUUGGUGGUGUUAUGGUUGGUGGGAAUGUAUCGUGACUGGAGUUGACUCUUACGAUCCUGAGUCUGUUGAGGUUUAUAUCCCUGGUGAACGGGAGAUGCGACUUCUUCCUGUAAAGGAUACGAGGAUGUCAAGAGACUGGGUGGAUAACAAAUGGGUUUGCAUAAACCCUAAACCUGACAUACUUGACUGUAUCGAUUUUUCUGCUGUCAAACUUAAGCUUCCUCCAGUUGCAGUUAAGAGACCAAGGGUUGAAGAACUAAAAUGGCCUGCGAUUCCAGAAAAGGGAAACCCUAAAAGGAGGUUGCGCAGUACUGCAAAAGGUAAAUCCAUCUUAUCAAGAUCGUCUUAGAAUAGUUUAUGUUAUAAAAUCCGGUUACAUUGGUUUUAUUUAUAGCUUUUUGAAUAGACUGUGACUAUAGUUCUAAAACAUAGGUGCAAAAGUAGACAUCUCUGGAUCAUCUUUGAAACAGAUGAAGGAUAUGAGUUUUCUCUUAGUAUAAACUUUAUUUGAUUCCAUUGGAAGUAUGUACUCAGGAUUUGGUUUCUUCUGUGAAUCAAUUUUUAGACAUGAUUCUUACUAUUUAAGCUAUCUAUUGAGAUAUUUUUCAAUUUAUGACUGAUUGAAGUUGUUUUAAAUUAAAUUUUGAUUAUGAUAUAUUUGGAUUAGAAUUUCA